UCCCCUCCCGAAAGCCCAACCAACACCAUCUCAUGCUGAGAUCCCCCAGCCCCACUAGUCUCUCAGCCCUGAAAGGCUACAAGAAAAAAUUCUCUUCUUCCUCACCCAAACAUUCUCUCACCCAUGAAACCCUAGAAAAAAUUCGACCCCUCACACAAAGAAUCUCUUCUGACCUCUCUCUCCUUCUCUCAUGGAUCACUGAUUGAGUGAUUUUACAGAGUCCUAUCACAAAACCCUGACAAAAAUCAGCGUUUCUUCACAAAACCCUCACACAAAGUACCUAGCGCUUUCGACUUUAAAUUGGCGUUUCUUUGCUCCGAUGGGGGCACUAUCUAGCAUUGUUAGAGCACUUUGGAGGAAUUAAAGAUUUCUCUGGAUGGGACACAAGGAUAAUGUCCAUAUGGAGCUGUUAUUUGGACUACAGAAAUAAUGAUGGAUAUCCAAAAAUGGGAUUGGACAGCACUUUGGACACUUGCAAGACUGAAGAUUUAUGAAAAUAGUUGCAGCCAAAUAAUGGCUUUAGCCGUUGGUUUUGUCUUUGUGUUGUGUUUGUUUACACUCAAGUUAGAGAAGUACAAUACAUUCUUGUUUUAUUUUGAAAAUUGAACUGGUGUAUUUCCUUCCAUGGUUGUAUGUUGAGUUGUAAGUGUUAAUUAAUACUUGUGAAGUAGGGAGUAUGUUAUUUAUAUGCAAUGGAAUGAGGUGCUGUUUGGACAGCCCAAACUAUAUUUUGUUACAGUUAAAUGAGGGAUUUGAAUAAGGUUCUGAUUAUAUGCAAUGGAAUGAGGUUUUGUGACC